GGAUGUGAGGGUGAUCUGGCUACAACAUCUGUCACCUCAUUGAUCACCAGUGGUGAUUAGGGUGAUCUGGCUGGCUAGGUAGGUGUCCCCUUCCUUCCUCAUUGCUCCAUGUGCAGACCUCCCAAAGCUGCAGGCCUGGUUGAAAAGAAUGGCCUGCCCCAAUAGAAGAAGACUGGUCUUAGGCCAAGGGUAUAAGUGUAGCUGUGCUCCCUUGCUAGAACCUCCAAACAAGCUCUCACAGACUAGUAUUUACCAAUAAACAUUAUUAUUUUUUAAAACAAUUUCUUCCUUGUGAUAUGUGUGUGUGUGUGCGU
rnacentral:snRNA from 1 species